rnacentral:tRNA from 1 species
GAGGCCUUAACUUAAUGAAAGUGUCUGAGUUGCAAUCAGGUGAUGUAGAUUAGAGUUUUACAGGUCUUCA